CUAAGGCACCCUACACACUACUCAAACGGUUUGACCAACAUUGACUCCGCCCCCAGGUUGGUGGUUGAGUUGGUGCUGUGUUUGACCGUGUGUGAUGCUGUUUGACGAACCGAUUUGGCAGUUCGUCAAACCGAUUUGACGGUUGACGGUUUGGUCGGCAAAAAUCAAACCAGUUUGAUUUUACUCAAACCAACGGUGGGCGGAGCCAAUGUUUGACGAACCGAUCGUACCGUGUGUAGUGUUGUUGCACAAACAUAGUGCGAUUUCAAAUGGGGGAUGAUGUUGGUGCAACCAAAGUGACAUGUUGGUGCAACACGAUUUGGCAGUUCGUCAUACGGUUGCAGAAACAUUCGUUGGUUCGACCAACCUGGGGGCGGUGGCAAUGUUGGUCAAACCGUUUGACUGGUGUGUAGGGUGCCUAAAAUCAAUUUCAAAAAGAUUUAUUCAAAUCAUUUUGACAGCUGGGCAACUGCUUGACAGCUCCGCCCAGUACAAAAUCCGACGAGGGGUGAUUCGACAAAUCGCUCCCAUCCCGGGCUCCAAAAUUCAUGAAAAUUUGGAUUUCGGCUCUGUUUGGCGUACAGAUUCAGAAUAUGGGAUUAUCUCAACAUCGCUUAAAAAGACAAUUAUAACAAACGGAAAUUUCCACCCUCUCCGACUCACCAAUCACCCGGAAAAAAUGUUCCUUCAGUUCUGGAAAAUAUAUUAUCCCCAAUUAAGCCUUUAAUCGAAUUGUCCGCGUGGUCUUGUAGUACCUCUGAUAGGUAAGAACCAGUAAUUGCCAUACAUAUUAAAUGCUAGACAUUACCCCAUGGAUAGCAUUUGCAUAUGUAAAAGCUUUGCUGAUGUGACUUUCCUAUUAGGCAAUUCUCUCAUCUCAUGUUUGUCUUUAAAAACUUGUCAAGCUUAGAAAAUUGAAGUUAAUAAACAAUACAUUACAAGGUUCGAAUUCCCAUAGAAUGAGAUCAUUCAUUCGCAUUCACAACACCAUAGAAGAUAAUAUCACAUUGGCUGGUGCUGAAAAAUUCAUUUCGUCAUAUCUAAAUUCAAUCACCUACAGCUCAUUUAAGAAGCAGAACCAAGGAAUGUGGUAUAUGGAAAACUUGUGCGACUCAACCAGUUCUGCAAGAAAGUCACGGAAAAACCGCUAUUAUUCGAAUAUUUAAGGUAAAUGUCACGGACUACCUUCGAAAAAUACCAAUGGUAUUCACAGUGAAUAUCAUUUGGCAUUUUUUACAGUACAAAUGCGAAAAAUCUCCCUUUUCUCCCUAUCCGCUACCCGGGGUCGCGAAAGCCUCGGAGAAUAUUACGAACCUUCAAUGGUAUUCCCAUGCACUAACCCACAUCGCUCAUUCAGGGGUCUGACUGGGUCUAUUAUUACCCUCCCUCAGUUUGUAAUAUUCUCACCAACUUGGAAUUAUAUUUCCCGGCACAUAUAUGACUUCGACAAAUGUUCGAUAUACUAUGCAGCAUCAUGAUCAGUAUAACUAUAUCAGAUGACUUGAAGAUCUGAUUUUUUACAGAAUUGUUUGCCAUUGAUUAUACAUUCAGCUAUUCCAAACAUUACUGCAAAGCACAUCGACCAUAUGCCUGAAAUCAAAGCUUCCUGGAAGAUAUAAUCCAAGCCCAAUGUUGAAUAUUUUCUAGAUGAUAAUCAAAAUUUGCAUGCUUUUGCAAAAUUGUAACUAGUACUGCCUAGUGGCAGAAACUUAAUCCAAACGGUUUUUAAACUGUAAGUCCUUGACAAGCCAAACAAACUUGUAAUUAGAAGGCAUAGUAUGUUGCUAAUGGACAAAUGGAGUGAUGAAUUUGUGAAAAAUCGCGUUCUGGUGCGAUUCGAACCUACAAAUCCGUAUUCGCUAGACCGUCGCUUUAACCAUCUACUUCCCAUAGUUGUUCUAGAGCACCAUCGAUUUUCGACGAAUUCGAAACAAACGGAAUUAGAUGAAUAUGAUGCAAUAAUUUUUAAAAUAUUAUUGUAACCUCAUAAUGUUAACCCAACUACUAUUUACUUGUUUCAAUAGUGGCACUAUUGAUAGACAAUUAAAAACAAAAAAGUUUUUCAUUGAUUUCAAAAAUUUAGCUAAUUUGCAAUAAGUUUUGUUCAAGCGCUUUUUCCGGAAACAUUUUUUUUGCAUAGAAAUAGUCGUUCAAGCCUCAAGGAAAGGUUAAACUGGACCAUUUACAAGAUAAUAAUAUAAAUUUACAAAUGAAAUAUGUAAUUCAGCUUUGAAACUGAGAUGAACCAGCCUAUGAAGCUAUUAUCAGAAUAAAUCUUUACCCGCGAAACCUGAAGCACCAGGAAUGUUUAUAUCCAAUAGCAAAUUAUUUCUUAGACAUAACAUAACACAAAAUGCUGUCUAUAUUGACAACUGGCCGGGGUUCUGCUAAACCGAACUAAGAGCCAAAAAGUUUAUUCCGAGAUAUUCAAGGUUAAAGUUCAACCACUCACAAAUAAACAACAGCUAAGGUUAUUUGAAACUUUUCCGCACACAUGUAACUUACAAGCCUUCAUUAACCAUCAGAAAUCAAGAAUGUAUGAAAAUUAAUUGAAAUCAUUGAUAUAAUCACAUUUAAUUUCUCAGUUCACUCUGGCUGAACAAAAACAUUGGAAUAUGGUUAAUCGUUCAGUGUGGCUGACUGUGUUUCAUUGUUUCACAGAAAACCAGUCGGAUGGUGAAAAAAAUCUCGAUUUUUCAUCGUCCAUGAAGUUUGAAAUUGAUAUCACUCACAAUCCUUUACAUGAAUCAAAGAGGACGCGUAUAGUAUGGUAGCACGGAGGUCUCAAAAUAGUUUGAAAUAUGAACGGCGGGACCCCUCCCAGUUCAGCCCUUCCCACCCAUGUUUUUUUUUCACAGGCGGUGCAUGUGCAUUGUGCAGGCACAGAACAAGAGUGAUGAUGUCCUUGCAUGUCCUGAGGUCCUCAGAUGUGAAAGUAGAGCAAUGUGUGUACUUCAUAUUUAUGCUGGUCGAAGAAAACCAUAAAAAUGUUCUGCCAAAGUGAACUAAGACAAAAAAAAAACCAAAAAUAUGAAAAAGUUUCGAACUUGGAUAGUGAUAGUGAUAACCAAGCACGUUACCUCUAGGUCAUUUUACCUAGCUGAAGGUCAGUCGUUAAGUCUGAAUUAAGUUCUAAACAUUCUUCUCAAGGAUGAUUUUCGUGAAAACGCCAUUUUUUGAUCAGCCAAAGCGAACCAAGUGUUUGAUUUUUUUCAAACUUUAUUACUUAUUCUAAUUAGCCUUGUUGUUUAACCCUAAAAGGGAUACCUUCAUGGCCUCAGUUUCGUCACCUCGCUGAGUGUGUUCCAUCAAAGACGAGCUCUGAAAGACGCCUGGGGUCCAAUGGACCCCAGGUAUCCCUUUUAGGGUUAAUGACGGCUCCUGUGUUAAAUUAUCAGUAUGAGGUGCGUCAACAUAACGCAGGUAUUUAAAACCAGUUGAUUUUUGUAUUGUUGAGAAUAAAUUGGUUUUAAAAUGCAGUGGAUUUGGUUCGGUCUGGCUGAAUGUGAUUUGGAAAAAUGGCGAUCAGCGCCAUCGCAACAUAAUUGGAUCCUCCAACACCCGUAUUUCUAAUAACACGUGUUCAAUUCUCUCACAGAUUGUUACUAUGGGUCGGUUAGAAGCAGUCUUCAAAAGUUCCUCCGCAUUGCGUUUGCUUUGAUCUAAAAAACUUGGAGCUGGAAAAUGCACGCUCCCGAUUUUUCAAAUCAACAAUGCUUUGAUUUGCUCCUAUCAUUUUGGAGAAAAUACUGCAUCAUUGAGCUGAAUCAUUUACCAACUCCUUGCACUGGGUGGGUGCUCUGAAACAUGCAUGGUAGGCCUAGCAACCAAACAUGUUUACGUUUCAUCACUAGCUAACCCUUCGCGAGCGAAAAACUUGCUGCGUUUUUCAUUGUCCUUGAAAAUCUGGCAGUUGUGGGUUUGGUUUAGCAUACUAACUAUCGACUAAGAGAAGCCUAGAUCAGAUGUGAUAUUGUUUGGCCUGCAUUCCAGACUUGUACCAGCAGUACCCAACUCCCAAAUGAUUUUUUUCUGGAUCCCUCAUCAUAUUGCAAACAUUAAUGUCUUUUAAUUUCAUAACAAUAAAUCACCACUGCAGUUCAUUCAAAUUGUGUUUUCUUUCCUAGACCCUUCACACUUCACGGGAAUUUCAUGUUUGAUACCGGUGUAAUUAUUUUGAGCAUUUCAUUGAAAAUUCAGAUUAUUUUGCCCCGAAUUUCUGAGCCCGAAAUCAAUUUUUGUAGUUUGACAAUGGAUUUUGACGAUCCAGCACGCGAUCCAGUAACUUUCGUCGGAUAUAGCAAAUUCCAGUAGGGGUAGGCGGGGCAUUAUGGACACCCGGGGCAGAAUGGACACCCUCAAUAUUUUGAAAUAUGCGAACUUUUUUGAACUUUUAAUGAAUAGAGAAUAUAGUCCAUUUGUCCAAAACGUAGUUUCAGGAAAUAAACAUUCGAAAUUAAAAUUAUACUUGAUUUUACACGAAAAAGUUGCGUCCUCCGAUUUUUGUGCAUGGAAAUUAUAAUUUUCACACCAUCUAAAAUAAGAUUUAGUGAUUAAUUUAUUGCAGGUCGAUUAAAACCUGAUAUUUCUAGAACACAUGCAAGUAGUUUUGCUGUAUGUACAUGCUUAACAUGUUUAUAUUUUCUUCUUUAAUAUAUCAAAAAUCAAGUUUGGAAAUAUCUUCUGCUGCCGGGGCAAAAUGGACACUCAUCUUUUUGAAAGAAGCGACAAGGGAAAAAUAUAACCUAAAUCACAAACCAACCAAAUUCUUCGAUUUCAGUAUAUUUUCGGUUAAAAAUUCACUAUAGUAGACAUAGGGUGAAACAAAUUGGUCAAAAAAUGACAACAGUGGAAAAUAGUUGUUCUAGGCACAGCUGUACAUGCCGACAAAAACAAAGCUUUAUCCAAAACAGCCUGAAUUUAAAUUAACUGAACAAAAAUGAACUACUUCGGCGUAUUAUUCAUCCAUAAUAGUUGUUUUGUAAUGAAAUGACUUUAUAGGUGUAAAUUAGUAAUCCUACAUUAUAGAAAUCUACGGAGGCGGCCAUUGUAAGCCAAUCGUGCAGAAAGAACUGUCAAAGUGUGAGCCAAAUGAACAGGCUGAUCGUUCGUAAGAAGGCGUCGAUUUAACGGUAUUGCAAUCCGAGCUAAAUAAAUUAAAAUUAUUUAUUUUUAAUAUCGAGAGAUUGACGGUAUACGUAAGUUUAGUAAAAAGAUAGAAUUUAAUUAAUUCUGCUUUCAAAAGCUCAAGCUUAUGACGAAACUUUAGUUGCUGCACUUCUCGAAAAAGCUUUCAUUGCUGCUUCUUGCUUCAGUUCUGCCGAUAUGUUUAGCUUAACACUUUACAAUAAAUUUCAGAUUUCAUCGAUUGCUCCGCUAUUUUUUUUUCAAAAUUUUGAAAAAAAAACUAUUAUAAUUAGAAAAUGUAAACAAAACAACUUGAACCACUACGAAGUCACGAACAAAGUUUGAACAUCUAGCUUUGCAACAAGUGUUGGCAGCUGAUGUAAACAAAAUGAACAGCGUUGCCGAAUCGACAUAUGUAACUUCCGCUUAUCUCUAUGUAGAGGAUUUCUAGUGUAAAUAAUGUACGAAAUUCGUAAAAGUCUCAUGGUGUCCAUAUUGCCCCAUGGGGGUGUCCAUUCUGCCCCGUAUGCUUGAAGACGGUCAUGAAAAACUAACAUUUUUCAAAACAUUUUUUGAAGUGGAUAAAUCAUUUUUCUUCGUGAGCAUUCUUAUGCAAUAGAUACUAGAUAGACUUUAAAAGGAUACAUGUAUCAAAAAACUAAACUUUUUUGACAUCUUACCAGGUAAAGUUGGCAAAAACCUUAGGGUGUCCAUAUUGCCCCGCCUACCCCUAUUGCACCUAAGGUGCCAGCCAGAGUGGACGCGUCACGCGGCGCGGCGCGGCGCAAUGCGGCAUUUGACAGGUCGCGCGGCGACGCGCGGCAGAACUCCGUUCAUUGGAAUACAGGGAAAGCAAUCAUAGCAUGCCAGAGUGCGCGCGGAACGAUGCGAAGCGGAAUGCGUUUUGCCGCGCGGCGCGCGCCAGAACAGUGCAUGCACUGUUUUUGAUGCGAAAUUCGCGCGUUUCUUGUUUGUUUACCUCGGUGAUUCUCAAAGUUGUAAUUGAAAUGGCAGAGGAAAAAAUUGAAAUUGAGCAGCUAAUCGGGUCCGUAUUUUUACGGAAAGAGUUGUGGGAUCAAACUUCUCGGGGAUACCGAAACAGAGUGUUGGUGGACAAUAGUUGGAAGGAGCUUGCCGAAGAAUUCAAUGUAUCUGGUGAGUCCACUGUUUUGUGAGACGUUCUUGUAUUUUCCCCAAAACGUAUUCAAAAGUGUUUAUUUCCAUUCUAGUGUAGUCAUGAAAUUUUUUAGGAAAAUCCACCAGAUCUGGAUACAAAUGAUGAUACUCUCCGAAUAUAUUCCGUUUUUGAUUGAUCGGAUGAAUACCGUACUCUCUGAAUUCACCAAAAAAAUAUCUUCGAACGCCUCCAGACAUGAAAUAUUCAUCAUCUGAAUCCAUUUCGGCAACUUUAAUGUUCAAACACGAUGAAACAAUUGGUUUGUUUUUGUUUUGAACCCGCACACUUGUGCUUCGCAUCAAAUAGGCCUUUUCAGUUGACAGGUCCGUGUAUAGAGAUAAGUGACAUUUCAACACACGAACACUAGCGCGAAUUUUUCCUCACACAAAAAUGCACGCCAAUUCAAUGGCUACUCAGAUUGCAUAUGCAAAUAUUACCCAAUCGAAUUGGGUAAAACGGGUAAAUAAUGAUAAAACUAACGUCCGGGGUGAGAGUGCAAAUGUUUUCCUCACAGUUUCACAACAACAUCUACAAAAAAUGCACGCAUACUUUUGAACGUCGUUACCUACCUCUAUGCCACUGUUUACAACUGCCGAACAAAGGCGCAAACACUGAACUGUCAUUUUCAUAGGAGAACUGUCAAAGGCCCCCAAAAUCAGCUGAUUUUAGACGUCAAAUGAAAAGGCCAAUAGUCCAUUUUACGAGCCGAUUUUAUGAAUGAAUUUUGACAGGAGAGCGUCCAAUAACCCGUAAAAACCAAUAUCAUCAUCAACAUUGUUGUUGCUUCGUAAAAUGGCUCAUUGACAGCAAGUAUCAAGGCAAGCACCAAAGCACGCGGUGCCGCAUUGAAGCGCGUUCACUGUGGCUAUCAAGCCGCGUUGAAAACCGCGUCAAAGACGCGCCGCGCCGCGUCGCGUCGCGUGACGCGUCCACUCUGGCCGAACCCUUAUCACCUAUUCUGUGAAUCAAAAUCAGUAAUUCCUUUGAAUUUAUGACUAAACACUUAACGGAAAUAAACGAAAUCUCUGUCAUUCUGCACCCAUUACAAUCAGAGCUUUCACAUUAGCCCUACCAUGUUCCAUGCACAAAAAGGCGUUUGCACCCUCUCGUUUAUUUUACUAUUUCAAAGUAUUCUACUAGGGCUGUAAGCUUAAAAAAUAGUUUUAAAAUAAAAAUAUACUAUUUUGAGUUAACAAACUUGUUCCAUUGCCUUGCUGUUUAAAAAUAAACGAAGGGCGCCAUUUUUUAACGUAUACAACCUUGUAUGGUAGCUCUUGUUGUAUACGUUAAAUCUUGUUGUUCAUAAAAUUUCAAAAUUUGUACCUAAAGGACGGGUAGAUUUGAGGUUAGGGAAUCAUCAUUGUCUCAAAUGUACAACUCUUUUGAAUCAUCAGAAGUAAAUAGCAUUUGAAGGUAAAUUUAGAUAAAUGGUUCAUUUUUAAUUUUAGGUUGAGCACAAUAAUCACAUAUUUCUUGGAAAUUUUUCAUCAAAAACCUCUAGAAAACUGUUGAAAUGUUAUGACUCUUAAACCGAUUGAGAGGAGACAGCUCACUUUGAUUGUGUGCUACUGGUUGUCAAGGCGAACCUGUCACAAUCUGUCUCUGCAACCCGAGUUGGAAAUUAUACAUUGAUGGUGUGAAGUGAUCCAAUAUCCAAAAAAUCUUAUCAAAACUUCUCACCAUUUGUUGUAUUUUGAAAGAUGACAUACAGUUUAAUAAAAUCUAUAUAAAUAAAAAUUGAAUGGUGUUUGUAUGUCACGAAUAGGCUCGGAAACGGGCCAACGAAUCUGCACCAUUCUUUCAGUGUUUUAUUCGUGCAGGGCUCCGACGUGUUCGUGCGAAAAAAGAAUUAGAAAAAUCGACCGGGAAAGCACCGAAAACGAGAAAGUUUGAAAUUUCAUUGUGCGGGGCAUUUUUCUACGGAGCUGCAUGUCAAAAAACGCAGUAGACAGGCAGUACGACGUUUGCCGGGACAGCUAGUAGUUAAUAAAUAAAAUAGUUAUGGUCAGUAUUCAUGUGCAAAGGUGACGGAAAUUAUGAAAACUUUUCAGUUUGCUUUACGAACAGACGCGUUGCACCGCGUUCACUGUGGCUAUCAAGCCGUGUUGGAAGCCGCGUCAAAAACGCGCCGCACCGCGUCGCGUCGCGUGACGCGUCCACUCUGGCCGCAGCCUAAAACUCUCCAUACGCGCCAUGCCGAUCUGGCGUGCGAUUCCACAAGUUAUCAAGAACUAAUUUUACUAUAUUUUAAAAUGGGGAUUGGUAAACGAGAGUUGUGCCCAUGCCUUGGUGGAUUCGGCUUUUGUUUAUGUAAGACGAUGUUCCAGGAAAGCAUUUGCAUAUCGGCGAGGCAUUAGAUGGUGACGGUGACGUGUGAAAACCUUAUGCCGAUCGACUUUCCGCUGCUCUGAAAGGCUACCAUCACCAAGGAUAGAAAAAAUAACUGCCGCAGCACAUAGCUAGAUAUUCUAUUUAUGAAUUCCAAUUAUAAGAAAAAAAAUAUUUAAAUUAAAAAUAGUUCAAACAUUACUAUCUUGUCCAAACAUUCGGCAGCACUCACACAUCUACCUUCACGUACAAUUAGAUCCAAAUGAUUUGAAUCAAUAAUGCAAUAUUUUCGAUCAAGUGAGCACAGUGUAAUGACCACCCUAUCCUUAGCGGUGUAUUCGAUGUUUAACAAAUACAAAGAGCUGAUAUACUAAACGAAAUAAAAGAGGCUCAUUCGAGCUUAAGCCGUUGAUUCAGACGGAGCCAAAUUCUAA